rnacentral:SRP_RNA from 1 species
GCCGGGUGUGGUGGCUCACACCUGUAAUCCCAGCAUUUGGGAGGCUGAGGCGGGUGGAUCACCUGAGGCCAGGAGUUUGAGACCAGCCUGGCCAACAUGGUGAAACCCCAUCUCUA